rnacentral:rRNA from 1 species
UAUCAAAGGAGUAAUCCGCUGUAAGAUGGGCUCGCGUCCGAUUAGAUAGUUGGUGAGGUAAUGGCUCACCAAGUCUACGAUCGGUAGCCGGACUGAGAGGUUGAUCGGCCACAUUGGGACUGAGACACGGCCCAGACUCCUACGGGAGGCAGCAGUGGGGAAUAUUGCACAAUGGGCGAAAGCCUGAUGCAGCAACGCCGCGUGAGGGAAGACGGUCUUCGGAUUGUAAACCUUUGUUAUUGGUGAAGAAACAAAUGACGGUAGCCAAUGAGGAAGCUCCGGCUAACUACGUGCCAGCAGCCGCGGUAAUACGUAGGGAGCGAGCGUUGUCCGGAAUUACUGGGUGUAAAGGGAGCGUAGGCGGGAAGGCAAGUCAGCUGUGAAAUACAUGGGCUUAACCCAUGGACUGCAGUUGAAACUGUUUUUCUUGAGUGAAGUAGAGGUAGGCGGAAUUCCGAGUGUAGCGGUGAAAUGCGUAGAUAUUCGGAGGAACACCAGUGGCGAAGGCGGCCUACUGGGCUUUAACUGACGCUGAGGCUCGAAAGUGUGGGGAGCAAACAGGAUUAGAUACCCUGGUAGUCCACACUGUAAACGAUGAUUGCUAGGUGUGGGAGGUCUGACCCCUUCCGUGCCGCAGUUAACGCAAUAAGCA